GGUUAAAAAGCUCGUAGUUGGAUUUCGGCGAUCAGGGGCCGGUGAUAUAUUUGUAUCUACUGGCCCAUUUGGUCGUAUUUUUGAAAGAGGGUUUGGGGUCCCCUUCACUGGGUGUCCUAGGUCGCUUUCAGGUUUACUUUGAAAAAAUUAGUGUGCUCAAAGCAGGCUUUAACGCUUGAAUAUUCGUGCAUGGAAUAAUAGAAUAGGAAGUUCGUUUCUAUUUUGUUGGUUUUAGGAUAACGACUUAAUGAUUAAUAGGGACAAUCGGGGGAAUUAGUAUUCCAACGACAGAGGUGAAAUUCU
rnacentral:rRNA from 1 species